rnacentral:rRNA from 1 species
ACGCUGGCGGCGUGCCUAACACAUGCAAGUCGAACGAGGUCCAUCCUUCGGGAGAAGACCUAGUGGCGAACGGGUGAGUAACACGUGAGGAACCUGCCCCGAAGACCGGGAUAACCCUCCGAAAGGAGAGCUAAUACCGGAUACCCCCACCGAACCGCAGGGUUUGGUGAGGAAAUGGAUUCCGCUUCGGGAGGGCCUCGCGGCCUAUCAGCUAGUUGUGGGGUAACGGCCCACCAAGGCAUCGACGGGUAGCUGGUCUGAGAGGACGAUCAGCCACACUGGGACUGAGACACGGCCCAGACUCCUACGGGAGGCAGCAGUGGGGAAUCUUGCGCAAUGGGCGAAAGCCUGACGCAGCAACGCCGCGUGGGGGAUGAAGGCUCUCGGGUUGUAAACCCCUUUCAGCAGGGACGAAUCAAGACGGUACCUGCAGAAGAAGCCCCGGCUAACUACGUG